rnacentral:rRNA from 1 species
AUUGAACGCUGGCGGCAGGCCUAACACAUGCAAGUCGAGCGGAUGAAGGGAGCUUGCUCCUGGAUUCAGCGGCGGACGGGUGGGUAAUGCCUAGGAAUCUGCCUGGUAGUGGGGGAUAACGUCCGGAAACGGGCGCUAAUACCGCAUACGUCCUGAGGGAGAAAGUGGGGGAUCUUCGGACCUCACGCUAUCAGAUGAGCCUAGGUCGGAUUAGCUAGUUGGUGGGUUAAAGGCCUACCAAGGCGACGAUCCGUAACUGGUCUGAGAGGAUGAUCAGUCAAAAUGGAACUGAGACAAGGUAAAGAAUCAUAAGGGAGGAAGCAGUGGGGAAUAUUAGAGGAGGGGAGAAAGCCUGAUCCAUCCAUGCCGCGUGUGUGAAGAAGGUCUUCGGAUUUAAAAGCACAAUAAGUUGGGAGGAAGGGCAGUAAGUUAAUACCUGGCUGUUUUGACGUUACCAACAGAAUAAGCACCGGAUAACUUCGUG